GUUUCCUUUUUCUUUAAUAUCUUAAAAAGGCGCUUUAUAAAAGAAAGGUAUAAGUUCAUUCUGUUCCAUCUUAAAGAAACCAGGUGUUCAUCAGAAGUCGGAUGGCCAUGGACAGGUUGGUGCCAAAUCCAACCCCAUAACAAAGAACCCUGGACGGCUGGGGCAGGGGUAACAGGUAUGCUAUGGAGUGUAAGAACCUUGAAGC